AAUAGGUUGGCAGAGCUAUGCACUUGACUUAGGAUCAAACCACAGGGACUCCCUACCUAUUA
rnacentral:tRNA from 1 species